AUCCAGCUGACGAGUUUCGAAUAGGACGGAACGGGCGUCCUGGAU
rnacentral:hammerhead_ribozyme from 1 species